GUAAACUGUCCUUUCAUCUUAUUUUAGUUUAGAAUUGAACUAUCUGUUGGGACAAGGAGACUGCAAUAUAAGAAUGUCAAGCAAUAAAAUUUCUUCUUUUCACUGUUCAGUUCGCCAUGUCUAAAUCAAAGAGGCUUCGAACUUGCCCUUAAAAACCCUUAACAAGUUUAUAACGCGUUGUAAGGCGCAUGAUAAUGCCGGGUGUCCGUCCGACCAUUCAUCCGUCAACAUCGGUCCGUCCGUCAAUCCGCCCGUCUGGUCUUGAUACCGCUCUCACAUGAUAAAAUUGAGAAAGGAAAUGGGGAAUAUGUCAAAGCGACAACAACCCGACCACAGACCAAACAACAGUCGAAAGGCCACCAAUGGGUCUUUAAUGUAGCGAGACUUCCUGCACCUGUAGGUGUCCUUCAGCUGGCCCCUAAAAUAUGUUUACUAGCACAGUGAUAAUGGACGUGAUACCAAACUCUGAAUUAUACACAAGAAACUAAAAUUAGAAAUCAUACAAGACUAACAAAGGCCAGAGGCUCCUGACUUGGGAAAGGCGCAAAACUGCGGUGGGAUUAAACGUGUUUAUGAGAUCUCAACCCUCCCCCUAUACCUAUAGCCAAUGUAGAAAGUAAACGCAUAACAAUACGCACAUUAAAGUUCAGUUCAACAAGCAUGCGUUUUAAAACCAAUAUAAUACAAUACUUAGUCAAAUGAUAGUGUUUAAAAAUGCAAUUUGUGUAUGUCUUAUUAUUAUUGCUUAUUCUAUAGGUUAAUUUCGUUCAUGUGAGUUAAAAAAUCG
rnacentral:lncRNA from 1 species